ACGAGUUUUUUUCUCUUUUGUCUGCUGGGAAAAACAAAGCCUAUGUUUUGUCUUUUUCAAGUCUUUGAUUACUUAGUUAAAACUUCCAAUGUUAAAGGAGCUUAGCUUUGCUAACAACUAUAUAACCUUACAUAUUUGCUUUUGAAAUCUCUUAUUGCCAUCUUGAUUAAAUAAAGUUUUAAGAUUUGUAAUGAUCUGUAAUCCUAGUUAGGGCAUGCUUUAUAGCUUUCUAAGGUUCUAACAAACUUUCAAGAUUUAAAUUGCAAAUGAAGUCUUUGUGACCAAUUAGGCCUUUUUAUUUGGUAUGCUAAGUUACUUGGAAAAGCACUGUCAAUGGUAAACCUUAGGUUGUACUGCAUGGGUAAAUGCUAUAAGUGCUCAGAUAUAUAUGCAAUUCCUAAAGUUUUGAUGUUUUGGCAUAAGGUCCUCACUUGCUAUUCUGAUUAUUGAAGUGCUAUAUGUCAUAGAAAUCACCAAAUUGCCUUGUCAUUUGCAUCGUGAUGAACUCUCAUCAGAUCUUUAACAAUGUCAAUUUCUGAGGUUCUGUCAUUUCUUGUUUUGUACUUAGGCUCACCAAAAUGUGUUUCAUCUUCAAGAAGAUUCAUAAAAAGGACUUUUAGGACAAAAACAGGCAUUUGACAUCUUUAAGAUUAAUACUAAAAUGGGUAAGAAUUUCCAGAACUAAAAAGUCGCAUCCAAACUGAACAAGAAUUAGGAACAUGGAACUAAUAAACUGAGGCAGAUUAUAGUUUUGUGACUCUUGUUGGGAAUAUUGCUGGUUCUCUAAUUGUUCUUCCACAUUUAAAGAAACUUUCUCUUAAGAUAUCUAUGAUAUAUAGAAGUGUGAUAAAGUAUUCAUUUGUAAACUGAAGCAAAAGAUAACUCUUUUCUUUACCUAAACCCUCUAAAAUUCAAAAAGUCUCAGUGAGUAUUCUUCCAGGAAUCAUUCUUAUUUGCAUAAGUUCAAUAAAAAUCCGUUCUCCUUGUAACAAGACACCAUUGGAAAUACUGGUUACUUUACCAAGACUUUGACGGGAAUGUUCUAUUUGAGAGUGACAUGCACGGACUCAGAUAUGACCAGACAGCUUUAAGGAACUAAGGUUGACUUUAUGGAACAUGAAGCCAUGAAGCCCCUUGGAAAUGUUGGCCGGAUCCCUUGCUCCCAGAGGUCCCAGCAGCCUCCCCAGGCCAGAAAACCCCAUCUGAUUCCUGCUGCCUGGUCCCACUCCCAUCUGAGGAUGCGUCAAGCCUGACAUCUAAAAAAAUCUCACCGGCAGACACUGGAUGGCGAAGCAGUUGCCUCAAUGGGUACGGAAGAAUUCAUCUUUUCCACAUUGAUCAUCUUAAGUGCUGCCUUAGGAACUAUAUAGGCUAUGGAUCAGCCUUCUGGGCUAAAGGCGAAUAUUUUCCUGCUUCUCUCCUUCAUCAAUAUGAACAGAACACCAUGAGCUUUACCUGGUUCUGGAAACAGCCUGUGGGAACUGAGUCCAGGAACUCUAGCACUGGUAAGCUCCACUCCCACCAUGGGGCUUGAACUCAGGACCCUGAGAUCAAGAGUUGCAGGCUCUACCGACUGAGCCAGCCAGUCGGGAGUUAGACCUUCUUAAAUUCUGCUAAACGUUGAAAUUAUAUGAACUUGAUAAAAAUGAGUACUUCAGAUUCCUCAUAUCAGAAAUGUUGAUUUAACAUGGAUGAGUAAGGCGUUUAAACAACCACUUCAGUGAUGCUGUUGUAGACAGUACAGGCCCCACUUUGAAAAUUGCUUUUAAUGGCUCUAGCAAACCUUGUUGGUUCUCUCUAGGUCUUGCUUUAUAAUGUCCUUCUCGUCCUUUCUCUUAUUUCAAUCCUGUCAGCGUCAAGUUUGGCUCAGAUUGCGCUUCUGAGGUAGCCUUGACUUGACUAUUCCAGGCAGAGGUGCGCUCUCUUGGCUUCCAUGGCAAUCAAUAUACAAGGGACAUCUCCAGACUCUGAGUGAGCAAUCCAUCUGCAGGAACGUUCUAAGCAUGCAUUCCCAGUAAUGUACUUCUUAACCUAGGAGGCACUAUGAUACUGUACUGACACUUACAUACACUAUAAAACAUACACAAAAGUUAACAGGUGAAUUAAAGUCAGUAAGACAAAUAAUUUUUGUUAUGGGAAAAUAAAGAAUGGAAAACCUCACUAAAAUGGGGUAGGGAGACCAGCAGGGGGAGCUCUCAUGCCCUACCACUUGCCAGUUGCAAACCCAUCAUGGAGAGGACCCACCAGGCACUUGGAUACUACUUCACUAUUCCAGCAGGAAGAAAGGCUAACCUCCUCUCCCUCGCCUCCCACAACAGCCCAGCCAAUGAGGACAGCCACAACACAACCAAUGAGAAGCCCCUACACGUCCAGCUCCCAGUUUACUCCAGUGAACUUUUUCUUUGGAACAGCCUUACAGACUUAACCUUUCUUCUAUAAAAGAUCCUACUUCUCCCUUGUUCUGCAGACUCACCUAUAAUUUUGCUGUAGCUUGUGUGCCCUGAAUUGUUUAUUCCCAAAUAAACCCAUCU